rnacentral:lncRNA from 1 species
GCGUCACCCGUCACCACCAUGGUAGGUGUUACAGGGUUAAUCUUUGCAAAAUCAACACUGCACGGCAGUAGCUCGCAGCCACUUCAGCCUUUCACUUUUUCCGCACAACACAGCCUUACUCAAACAAUUUCAGGCUUGAACCAAACUUAAGAACACACACAGUUUACAAGUAAAAACCCAACCUUUAUUAUCUCUCUCAGAAUAAUACAAGGACUCUCGUUUUUAGGCUUGGCUCACAAGUGUUUUCUGAAUGCCUCAGCCAUACACGAAAUGUACAUAAAUAAAGGGAGCUGCCAAUGGCAGUUACAAAGGGGACAGUUACAAAGGGGAUCAUGUCAGCCACUUGCCCAUGAUCUUUGAUCAUGUCUUCAACCACUCGCCCAUGAUCUCGGACAUGCCUUCAGCCACUCGCCCAUGAUCUCGGACAUGCCUUCAGCCACUCGCCCAUGAUCUCGGACAUGCCUUUACAAGUAAAAACCCAACCUUUAUUAUCUCUCUCAGAAUAAUACAAGGACUCUCGUUUUUAGGCUUGGCUCACAAGUGUUUUUUGAAUGCCUUAGCCAUACACGAAAUGCACAUAAAUAAAGGGAGCUGCCAAUCGCAGUUACAAAGGGGACAGUUACAUAGGGGAUCAUGUCAGCCACUCGCCCAUGAUCUUUGAUCAUGCCUUCAGCCACUCGCCCAUGAUCUCGAUCAUGCCUUCAGCCACUCGCCCAUGAUCUCGGACAUGCCUUCAACUUCCGUGUGCCUGUUUUGCACGCAGCUUCAUCAUGUGCCGAGCACACAGCUUCAUCACAUGCCGAGCAUGCUUUCAUCCAGCUCGUCCGCACCUUGCCCCUAAGCCCAACUUUGUCUCGGACCUAGCCUCGCCCCUAACUUCAUAGCCACGCCCUGCUAUAAGCUAGGUCGUCCCACUGAUCCGCGCGCAUGCCUUUGUCAAGUGCCAUGCUUUGCCAUAGCCGCUGCCCACAAAUCAAGGCCGCCUUGCAAACACUCCUUGCCCCUAAGCCCAACUUUGUCUCGGACCUAGCCUCGCCCCUAACUUCAUAGCCACGCCCUGCUAUAAGCUAGGUCGUCCCACUGAUCCGCGCGCAUGCCUUUGUCAAGUGCCAUGCUUUGCCAAAGCCGCUGCCCACAAAUAAAGGCCGCCUUGCAAACACUCCGGCUGCCUUGUCUUAGCUGCCUUUGCCUAAUCCCAUCACCACUUAGACGCUCGCCCAGCACCAUACAUUGCUUUUCACUGAUUCAAGAAGACAUGUCAAGGGGCAAUGUACAAGCCCUUGAUACGCAUUCUGCCCGACUUCUGUCAUGUCUCAUUUUGGGGGUCUAACAGUAGGCCACUAUCCUACCAUCGAAAGUUGAUAGGGCAGAAAUUUGAAUGAUGCGUCGCCGGCACGAUGGCCGUGCGAUCCGUCGAGUUUGGGGGUCUAACAGUAGGCCACUAUCCUACCAUCGAAAGUUGAUAGGGCAGAAAUUUGAAUGAUGCGUCGCCGGCAAGAUGGCCGUGCGAUCCGUCGAGUUAUCAUGAAUCAUCGACGAGCAGUCCGCGUCGACCUUUUAUCUAUUAAAUGCAUCCCUUCCAGAAGUCGGGGUUUGUUGCACGUAUUCGCUCUAGAAUUACUAUGUUUAUCCGAGUAGUAGAUACCAUCAAACAACUAUAUUUGAUUUAAUGAGCUAUUCGCAGUUUCACAGUCUGAAUUUGUUCAUACUUACACAUGCAUGGCUUAAUAUUUGAGACAAUUAUAUGAUUACUGGCAGGAUCAACCAUUGACGCCGGCGUCGCAUGAGCGUGGCCGACCCAAAAGGGCACGGCCAGGUCCAAGGCGAGCACGACCAUCAUACGUAAGGAGCAUUCUUUGGGUAGAUAGAAGCCAAUGAAGGCCUCGUUCCCAUUGCGUUUACCGAAUCCGAGAGAUCGAGGAUUCUAAGUCGUGGACAAAGCCAUCGCAAGGCGAAUCCUGGACGACCUGGGACAGAACUGCAGCUUUUGGUUCACCCCGCACGUCGAACGCGAGGAGCGAAAGGCGACCGAUUGUGCUUGAUAAUGCCUUGGCUGACCUGGGACACAACUGCAGCUUUUGGUUCACCCCACACGUCGAACGCGAAGGGUGAAAGGCGGCCAAUUGUGCUUGAUAAUGCCUUGGCAUUAGGUAUGCAGCACAGAAAACCGACGUUGAACAAGCCUAAUUUGCGCUUGUGACAUGACUGAGAUGGCAUGCGAGCUAGGACAUCGCUGCUCGAACGGGGAUCCAACCUAGCCACACAAGCCGAACACCACUCAUGCGCCGCAAAUACACUUUCCUCGUCGAUUCAAAGCCAAAACCAGCCCCAACACGUGACGCGCAGCCAUGUGUUGUUGCCGAUGCCAACAUUAUAAAGCCAAGACAAGCCCCACAAAGCACGAAUAGGGGGUUUAAACAAUGCCAGACACAACCCACAACAACCGAUGGCAAUCGGCAACUUACUAAGCUUCACCCCGUGCGCACGGCACCUUGCGGCUCUAAUUGCACGGUGCUUUGCCAUUUUGUUGCAAAAAGUCAUCAGCCUCCACGAGCGAUGCCGCCUCCCGAUGUUGCCGGCAACAACUGAUGGCAAUCGGCAACUUGCUAUGCUUCGCCCCAUGCGCACGGAACCUUACGGCGCUACUUGCAUGAUGCAUUGCCAUUUUGUUGCCAAAGGCCAUCAACCGCCACUAGCGAUGUCGCCUUCCGAUGUUUCCCACAAAAACCAAUGGAAAUUGUCAAUUUACUAAGCUUCGCCCCGUGAGCACGGCACCUUGCGGUGCUACUUGCACGAUGCUUUGCCAUUUUGUUGACAAAAGCCAUCAGCCGCCACGAGCGAUGUCGCCUCCCGAUGAUGCCCGCAAAAACCAAUGGCAAUCGGCAACUUACUAAGCUUUGCCCCGUGCGCACAGCACCUUGCGGCGCUACUUGCACAAUGCUUUACCAUUUUGUUGCCAAAGCCCAUCGUGCGCACAGCACCUUGCGGCGCUACUUGCACGAUGCUUUACCAUUUUGUUGCCAAAGCCCAUCAGAUGCCACGAGUGAUGAUGCAUCCUAAUGUUUCCCGCAACAACCAAUGGCAAUAAAAAUCUACUGAGCUUCGCCCCUUGCGCAGGGCACCUUGCGGCGCUACUUGCACGAUGCUCCGCUGUUCGUUGUCGAAAGACAUAAGCCGCCACGGAGGGGGGUUUACAGACACAACCCACGACAAUUGAUGGCAAUUGGCAACUUACUAAGCUUCGCCCCAUGCGCACGGCACCUUGCGGCGCUACUUGCACGACGCUCCGCCGUUCCAUUGCCAAAAGCCAUCAACCGUCAUGAGCGAUAUUGCCCGCAACAACCGAUGGAAAUCGACAUCUACUGAUCUUCGCCCCAUGCGCUCCGAAAGCCAUCAACCGCCAUGAGCGAUAUUGCCCGCAACAACCGAUGGAAAUCGACAUCUACUGAACUUCGCCCUAUGCGCACGGGACCUUGCGGCGCUACUUGCACGACGCUCCGCCGUUCGUAGUCAAAAGCCAUCAGCCGCCACAAAAGAUUCCAGACACAACACACAACAACCGAUGGCAAUUAACAACAACUUAUUUAGCUUUUCCCCAUGCGCACGGCACCUAGCGGCACUACUUGCACGACGCUUUGCCGUUCUGUUGUCAAACUCCAUCAGCCGCCACGAGCGAUGUCGCCUCCCGAUUUUGCCCGCAACAUCCAAUGGCGAUCAACAAGUACUAAGCUUUGCCCCAUGCGUACGUCACCUUGCGGCGUUAUCUGUGUGACGCUCCACCGUUCAUUUCAAAAAGCCAAUGUUUGCCACGAGCGGUGCCACCACCAGGCGCACUACGAGCCCACAGGAGUACUUGUCGGCGCGGUUUGGGGACAUCGAGGACGUAGCACGGACAAGCCGUGCAUGCCCCCAAUGCCCACGCCCCAUGCCAGCGUCCCCAUGCAUGCCCGCCCCUUCCUAGCAGCAAGCACCUGAGGUGCCUAUCAACACCUCUACCCCCCUUAUAUAUACUUAAAAAAAAUCCAAGUUUCAGGAUUAGACAUGUUUUGGCCAGAGAAUCAUAAUUGACACGUACAACACCAAAUAGCACCAACCAAAGUACAACUUGGCUAAGAUAUUCACAAAUGACUUUUAUACAUUGUAAAUGAUAGUUUCAGGAGUAAACAUGUUUUGGCCAGGGAAUCAUAAUAGACAUGUACAACACUAAAUAGCACAAACCAAAGUACAACUUGGCUAAGAUAUUCACAAAUGACUUUUAAUCAUUGCAAAUGAUAUUUUUUACAAAAAAUUAAUAUUUUUUUGAAAUUGUUUUAUUCGAAAACCAAAAAUACUUAAUAAAAAACAAAAAAAAAUGAAAAUUACAAUAGAAAUAGAAGAAAUGAUGGAGAAAAAUUCCAAUACAACUUGUAAUAGAAUAACAUAUAAAAGAGUAAAUAUUUUUACUAAAAAGUGACAUAAAACUAAUUUAAAAUAACAAAAAAUGCAUAAAAAUAUAUUAAAAAUAGGAAAAAUACAUAAUAUUAUUAUAAAAGCGUAUAGAUGACCAACCGCAAAUAAGCACCUCCAUUUUCGGAACCACAACAAGUGAUUCCGAUUUGAAAAAACCACCGCCAACCACAAAGCGUCGACCAACCGUCGCCGGUGGAUACCGCUCGAGCCACCGCGACUUUCCACCAUUCAUGGCCAGGCCCUGCCAUGUCCUACGACGUCUUCACUCGUACCAUGUCCACGCCAUGCCAUGUCCUGAAGCGUCCUGACUCGUGCCAUGGCCAUGUCCUGACACGUCCUACGACGUCCCGACUCGUGCCAUGGCCACGCCCUGUUACAUGUGCCAUGGCCAUGUCUUGAUGCGUCCUGACACUUGCCAUGGUCACACCCUGCCAUGUCCCGCAACGUCCCGACUCAUGCCAUGGCCACGCCCUGCCAUGUACCGACGCGUCCUGACACAUGCCAUGGCCAUGUCCUGAUGCGUCCUGACACGUGCCAUGGCCAUGUAAGCC